GCCCCCGUUGUCUAAUGGCUAUGACGUCAGACUUCUACAAUCGCUUAAUCUGGAGGUUGCGGGUUCGAGUCCCGCCGGGGGUU